rnacentral:rRNA from 1 species
UACGAAGGGGGCUAGCGUUGCUCGGAAUCACUGGGCGUAAAGGGUGCGUAGGCGGUCUUUAAGUCAGAGGUGAAAUCCUGGAGCUCAACUCCAGAACUGCCUUUGAUACUGAGGAUCUUGAGUUCGGAGAGGUGAGUGGAACUGCGAGUGUAGAGGUGAAAUUCGUAGAUAUUCGCAAGAACACCAGUGGCGAAGGCGGCUCACUGGCCCGAUACUGACGCUGAGGCACGAAGCGUGGGAGCAACAGG